GAUUUUAGCGAACAUUCUAAUUAGGAAAUACAUGGAGGAAAAACUGUAUGUCGUCAUUGUGUAUAAUGGUAUAAACCUGAUAUUUAGCGUAAACGUUUAGUUUAUAAGCUGAGUGAUUAUCAAUGUAUGCACGUGAAAGUAUGAUUACCUUUUACAGACACCUUGUGUAAAUAGAACAGUAAGUGGUUCAUAUAAUUGGGUGUUCAUAUCGUAUUUUAUAACUUGUAUAUGUUAUGGGUUACCUAUGUUAUUAGGAUGCGCGCGCAUCCACCAUGUGUUCGGAAUGAGUG